rnacentral:lncRNA from 1 species
CGCGGGGUGCGGCCUGUGCUCAGCGUGCGAGCCGGGCGCCCGGACGGUGCGGGCCUCGCUCCUGGAGGGGGCGGGUUCCGAAAGACAAUGCGGACCGGGAGAGGAGGGGAAGGGGGUGGCAACCCAGUCCGGAAUCUGAGCCGGGGAAGGCGGAAGGAAAGCCCACUUGGGGGGCGGGGAUGGGGAGAGGCCCAGAAAAAGUGUUAGCCAAGAAGUCCUGAAGAUGGGGUCCAGGAGGGGAGGACUAUGGGACACAAGGACGGGGUGCUCAGUGGUUAAGUCCCCGAUGAAGUCGGCCGCACUGGGGCGGGAAAAGACACGACUGGUCCAAAAGAAGGCUUACCUCUCUUGCUCUGAGAGAACCAGGGGAAGCAGAGAGGCUGGGCCAUCUACAGGGAGGACUCAGAAGAGCCUUUCCCUUGCAGAUAACCAAUGAGAAGUGGACUGGGACGUCCAACGGGCAAGAGGAAGCAAAGAAAAAAGAAAUCAGAAAGAAUGAGUCAGUGGGGACUGGCAACUGCCAUUAGGUGUGAUGUUAUCCUGAGGUCCACCACGUAUUAAAUUAACCCACCCUCCCCUUUAAUAAGCUCAUCUGUUGUAGAUUUCCAAAAGUAACCAAUUUACUGUGUAAUAUUUAGAGAAUUUGGGGUUUCAACAAAACUGUUCUACAGGCUAAGGCCUCAGAAAGAAGACAACGGAAAACAACGAUCCUGAGAUUCACAAGGCUAACGAAUUCCCCUGCACUGGGAAAAAAAAAAAUCCCAAGCACAUUUGCACACUAAAGGGAAAGAUGCAGACAAAAUAAGGAUGGGGUGGGCGAGGCGGGUGAGAAUCACAGUCCCACCUCCCAACUUUCAUAUUCAUCAGAAAACCAGAAGUGGAGGGAGAGAGAAAGAGCCUGGAAAAAAAAAAAAAAGCAAAACAAAUGUGUACAUUUCAUCGGACGGCUUGCAUGGGACACAAAGCAGAGGGCUAAUUAGUCUCAGCAGGUAGGACUAACCUUCAGACUUCAUAAAUAAAUAAGACAGCGCAGUAUCUAAGAGGGAGAGCAGAGACAGAAAGGGGA